rnacentral:rRNA from 1 species
AAAUAGAUACCCCGGUAGUCCACGCUGUAAACGAUGUCAACUAGCUGUUGGCUAUAUGAAUAUAGUUAGUGGCGCAGCAAACGCGAUAAGUUGACCGCCUGGGGAGUACGGUCGCAAGAUUAAAACUCAAAGGAAUUGACGGGGGGCCCGCACAAGCGGUGGAGCAUGUGGUUUAAUUCGAUGCAACGCGAAGAACCUUACCUACCCUUGACAUACAGUGGAGCUUGCAGAGAUGUGAGUGUGCCUUCGGGAACACUGAUACAGGUGCUGCAUGGCUGUCGUCAGCUCGUGUCGUGAGAUGUUGGGUUAAGUCCCGUAACGAGCGCAACCCUUAUCCUUAGUUGCCAGCACGUAAAGGUGGGAACUCUAAGGAGACUGCCGGUGACAAACCGGAGGAAGGCGGGGACGACGUCAAGUCAUCAUGGCCCUUACGGGUAGGGCUACACACGUGCUACAAUGGUUGAUACAGAGGGCAGCGAAGGGGCGACCUGGAGCAAAUCUUAGAAAGUCAAUCGUAGUCCGGAUUGG